GGGGCGGCGCUGUCAGCGCGAGGCGGCGAGCGGAAUGCAGCGGCCGGAGGCCUGGCCACGUCCGCACCCGGGGGAGGGGGCCGCGGCGGCCCCGGCCGGGGGCCCGGCGCCGUCCGCCCGAGCCGGGGAGCCCGCGGGGCUGCGGUUGCAGGAACCUUCCCUCUACACGAUCAAGGCUGUUUUCAUCCUAGAUAAUGAUGGACACCGCCUGCUGGCCAAGUAUUAUGAUGACACAUUCCCCUCCAUGAAGGAGCAGAUGGCCUUCGAGAAAAACGUCUUCGACAAGACCAGCCGGACCGACAGUGAGAUUGCAUUUUUCGGGGGCAUGACCAUCGUCUACAAGAGCAGCAUUGACCUCUUCCUGUAUGUGGUGGGCUCAUCCUACGAGAACGAGCUGAUGCUCAUGUCCGUUCUCACCUGCCUGUUUGAGUCCCUGAAUCACAUAUUAAGGAAGAACGUGGAAAAGCGCUGGUUGCUGGAGAACAUGGAUGGAGCCUUCCUGGUGCUGGACGAGAUUGUGGAUGGCGGCGUGAUUCUGGAGAGCGACCCCCAGCAAGUGGUCCAGAAAGUGAACUUUAGGGCAGAUGACAGCGGCUUGGCUGAACACAGUGUGGCCCAGGUCUCUCUGCCCAGACUAAUCCUGCUUUUGUGGAGCUUCCUGCCCCGGUACUAACCACCUCCUGCAGGGGUGGCCCAGGCUGAGAUGGGCCUGUUGCAUCCCGUGUGGAGCCGCAGGUUCUUCAGUCUGCCAAGGAACAAAUUAAGUGGUCCUUACUGAAAUGAAGGCGUGCAUUCAAGUCUCCCUGCCCCCAGCCCAUUCCCACAAUCCUGGCAAAAGCACAAAGGCCCUGGGGGACACUAGAGAUCCCUCAGUAUUCCCAGGCACUCCCAGAACUGACUCCCGAGGUCUCUAGCCAGGGACAAUGAGAUGCAAAGGUUUGACUUCAGCACUGAGUCACUCCUUCUCACCACCCUGGCUGCCGUUUUGGCCUGGAGACCAAAUAAACCUUUGGCAUCCUUGGCCUCAGAGCCCAAAUAAACCUGCUUUUGUCCCCUGCCAA